GCGCCUGUAGCUCAGCUGGAUAGAGCACCAGAUUGCGAAUCUGGCGGUCAGAGGUUCGAAUCCUCCCAGGCGCG
rnacentral:tRNA from 1 species